GGCUGUUGCCCCUCCUGCCCCCGCCCCCUCCGGAGGAGACAGCUGACUAGCAGCUGCCCAGCUGUCAAGGUCAGGCAAGUGAGUGCGAGGGGCCGAGGACCGGGGCGGGGAGACGCUCCUCCACCCUGAUCGCCUGCCAGGACCCAGUGAGGCUCACUCCCCUGUGGCCUAGUGCAGGGCGUGGGCCUGGCCAGGUUCCCCGCCCGGGGUCCUGGGGAGCGCGUGGGGAGGAGGAGGGGCAGAAGGGGGCGUGGUCCAGCAGGGAGUUUAUUUAAUGAUGUAAUUUAUUGUUGAGUUUCUCUGGAAGCUGUGACUGGAAUAAACCCCCCCCCCUCCCCGUGUGGCACCGCUGAGUCUUCUGUGGGCCGGGAAGGGGGAAGGUAGGAGGGUGAGGGCCCUGCGGGAGUCUCCCUGGUGGGCGGAGCUGGGUGGGUGCGGCCUCAUGUGCCGGCCGGUCUAUGGCCACCCACCGGUCAGGAGGGCAUCCCGGUGGAGCCGCUGUUUCUGCAGAGGUCCCCAACUGCGAGGGUGCUCACGCGUGUCUGUGUGUGUGUGGGGGGGUGUUUUUUUAAGUUUUUUUUGUUUUGUUUUUGAAGGGGUGAGGUGGGGUGGGAGAGGGGAGAGAGCUGUCACAAAGAAGGGGAAGGGUAUUCAGGAAUGGCUCCAGGACAUGUCCCUUUACUCAGCAAAGAGCAACUCAAAAGAGCAAUGAUGCUGGUGAAUACAGAAUGCGGUAUGGCACUCACUGAUACCGUCACCUGAGGGAGGGGAGGGGAGAGACCGAGGACGGCUUCAAGAAACAAGACUGUGUGAGUAGAGAUUAUAAAAAAUUAACCCCGCCUCCCCAGUUGGCCUGAUUACCCCUGAUCCUUCCAUGUAAUACAGUAAUUCCUCCCCUGGAGACCAGGGGCUUGGCACUGUCAUGGUGGCCAAAGUGGGAGGGACCGUAGGAAAGAAGAGAAUUAAGGGACGUGGGCCCUCGAGAAAGCCGUACCCUUGGCCUCUCCCUGGAAACUCUCAGCAGGGCUAAGGCCGCCUACCGCCCAUGGUACCUCUGGGCAGAGACCAGCCCAAGAGUAGGCUCUCCAAAGAGCUCUGCCUGCUUAGGGCCCUCUGGAGAGUUGGGCAAGGCAGCACAAGCUUGGGAUGAUGGGCAUUUCUGGGAUCCCUGUGAUCUCCUCCCUUCCACAUUCUUCUCCAUCUUCCUCUCCCGCUGGCUCCUGCUCCCUCCCACCCUCCCCGGCUCUCUCCAUUCC
rnacentral:lncRNA from 1 species